UACGUAGGGACCAAGCGUUGUUCGGAUUUACUGGGCGUAAAGGGCGCGUAGGCGGCGCGGUAAGUCACUUGUGAAAUCUCUGAGCUUAACUCAGAACGGCCAAGUGAUACUGCAGUGCUUGAGUGUGGUAGAGGCAAUCGGAAUUCCAGGUGUAGCGGUGAAAUGCGUAGAUAUCUGGAAGAACACCGGUGGCGCAAGCGGAUUGCUGGGCCAUAACUGACACUGAGGAACGAAAGCUAGGGGAGCGAAUGGG
rnacentral:rRNA from 1 species